rnacentral:rRNA from 1 species
GACGAACGCUGGCGGCGUGCUUAACACAUGCAAGUCGAACGGAAAGGCCCUUCGGGGUACUCGAGUGGCGAACGGGUGAGUAACACGUGGGUGAUCUGCCCUGCACUUUGGGAUAAGCCUGGGAAACUGGGUCUAAUACCGAAUAGGACCACGCGCUUCAUGGUGUGUGGUGGAAAGCUUUUGCGGUGUGGGAUGGGCCCGCGGCCUAUCAGCUUGUUGGUGGGGUAAUGGCCUACCAAGGCGACGACGGGUAGCCGGCCUGAGAGGGUGACCGGCCACACUGGGACUGAGAUACGGCCCAGACUCCUACGGGAGGCAGCAGUGGGGAAUAUUGCACAAUGGGCGCAAGCGUGAUGCAGCGACGCCGCGUGAGGGAUGACGGCCUUCGGGUUGUAAACCUCUUUCAAUAGGGACGAAGCGCAAGUGACGGUACCUAUAGAAGAAGCACCGGCCAACUACGUG